AAUCUUGCGCAAUGGCCGAGAGGCUGACGCAGCGACGCCGCGUGGAGGAUGACGGCCUUCGGGUUGUAAACUCCUGUUGCCCGGGACGAACACACGGAUGCGUCCGUGCUGACGGUACCGGGUGAGGAAGCACCGGCUAACUCCGUGCCAGCAGCCGCGGUAAUACGGAGGGUGCGAGCGUUGUCCGGAAUCACUGGGCGUAAAGGGCGCGUAGGCGGCUUCUUAAGCGUGUGGUGAAAGCUCGGGGCUCAACCCCGAGUCGGCCGUGCGAACUGGGAGGCUUGAGCACUGUAGAGGCAGGUGGAAUUCCGGGUGUAGCGGUGGAAUGCGUAGAGAUCCGGAAGAACACCGGUGGCGAAGGCGGCCUGCUGGGCAGUGGCUGACGCUGAGGCGCGACAGCGUGGGGAGC
rnacentral:rRNA from 1 species